rnacentral:rRNA from 1 species
AUUGAACGCUGGCGGAAUGCUUUACACAUGCAAGUCGGGCGGCAGCGCGGGGGCAACCCUGGCGGCGAGCGGCGAACGGGUGAGUAACACAUCGGAACGUACCCUGUCGUGGGGGAUAACGAAUCGAAAGAUUCGCUAAUACCGCAUACGACCUGAGGGUGAAAGCGGGGGAUCGCAAGACCUCGCGCGAGAGGAGCGGCCGAUGGCGGAUUAGCUAGUUGGUGGGGUAAAGGCCCACCAAGGCGACGAUCCGUAGCGGGUCUGAGAGGACGGCCCGCCACACUGGGACUGAGACACGGCCCAGACUCCUACGGGAGGCAGCAGUGGGGAAUUUUGGACAAUGGGGGGCAACCCUGAUCCAGCCAUUCCGCGUGAGUGAAGAAGGCCUGG